rnacentral:rRNA from 1 species
CCCGCGGCGCNUUAGCUAAUUGGUGGGGUAAUGGCUCACCAUGGCGACGAUGCGUAGCCGACUUGAGAGGGUGAUCGGCCACACUGGGAAUGAGACACGGCCCAGANUCCUACGGGAGGCAGCNGUAGGGAAUCUUCCGCAAUGGACGAAAGUCUGAAGGAGCAACGCCGCGUGAGUGAUGAAGGUCUUCGGAUNGUAAAGCUNUGUUGUUAGGGAAGAACAAGUGCGAGAGUAACUGCUNGCACCUUGACGGUACCUAACCAGAAAGCCACGGCNAAAUACGUGCCAGCAGCCGCGGUAAUANGUAGGUGGCCAGCGUUGUCNGGAAUUAUUGGGCGUAAAGGGCUNGCCGGCGGUUUCUUAAGUUUGAUGUGAAAGCCCCCGGCUCNACCGGGGAGGGUCAUUGGAAANUGGGAAACUUGAGUGCAGAAGAGGAGAGUGGAAUUCCACGUGNAGCGGUGAAAUGCGUAGAGAUGUGGAGGAACACCAGUGGCGAAGGCGACUCUCUGGUCNGUAACUGACGNUGAGGAGCGAAAGCGUGGGGAGCGAACAGGAUUAGAUACCCUGGUAGUUCACGCCGUAAACGAUGAGUGNUAAGUGUUAGGGGGUUUCCGCCCNUUAGUGCUGCAGCUAACGCAUUAAGCACUCCGCCUGGGGAGUACGGUCGCAAGACUGAAACUCAAAGGAAUUGACGGGGGCCCGCACAAGCGGUGGAGCAUGUGGUUUAAUUCGAAGCAACGCGAAGAACCUUACCAGGUCUUGACAUCCUNNGACAACCCUAGAGAUAGGGCUUUCCCUUCGGGGACAGAGUGACAGGUGG